UACGUAGGGUGCAAGCGUUGUCCGGAAUUAUUGGGCGUAAAGAGCUCGUAGGCGGUUUGUCGCGUCUGCUGUGAAAACUCAGGGCUUAACCCUGAGCUUGCAGUGGGUACGGGCAGACUAGAGUGCGGUAGGGGAGACUGGAAUUCCCGGUGUAGCGGUGGAAUGCGCAGAUAUCAGGAGGAACACCAAUGGCGAAGGCAGAUCUCUGGGCCGUAACUGACGCUGAGGAGCGAAAGCAUGGGGAGCGAACAGG
rnacentral:rRNA from 1 species